rnacentral:lncRNA from 1 species
CGAAGAAGAAGAAGAAGUGGCGGAUGCAGGCAGCAGGCAGAGCUGCAGCUCAGCGCUCACUCUUUUCCUCUUGCUGAGGGUGGUUUUCAGUGUACAGGAGGCGUGGGGUCUGCGUGGGGUCUGCGUGGGUUUGCGUGGGUUUGUCACUUUUGUUUUCUACGCGUGGCUCUUGUCUUCAGUGAGCGGCUUCACCUGCUUAGCAUCUCUGUUGCUAACGUUAGCAGCAGCAGCAGCAGCUCUCUGUUAGCGUGCUAACGUCAAAGCUACAAGAUGAAUCUGGUGACAGACAGAACUCUGCACCCACACCUGCGCGACGAGGAGGCCGUGGUGGUGGAGAACGCGAUCCGGUUAGCGAUAGACUCCAUCGUCAACGUGCUGUACGGUGUAAACAGCGCCCGGACCCGGGAGUACCAGCGGAUGGUGGCCGACAGGGACAAAGAGAUCCAGCGGCUGGAGGGCAGGCUGACGGAGAUAGAGGGAGAGCUGCGGGCGCUGCGCCGCCAGGGCUGCACCUGCGGGCUGUUCGGGGCCGAGCGCAGCCUCGACAGGUCUCGGAGCUCCGCUGACCGACAGACAGGAGAGCAGAGCGGGUUUGAUGCGGGCUGCAGUGACGCGGAGACGCCGACAGGACAGCAGGAGUGUGAGAUGAGCUUGUCCUUGGGUCUCUUUGCGAGGCCCCCCUCACACGUGUCCUCACAGAGCCACGAGUCGGCCCUCCUCUCCUCCCCCAGCAGGCUGGGUUUGGACCAGACGGGCACCUCCCACUCCUCAGAGGCGUCGGGUGUGACGGAGGCGGCCCGGAACAUGGCUCCAUCUCCCAGCAGCCUCGUUGUCAAAGAGGAGCCGUGUGAUGUGGAUGCUGUGUUGAUCAAGUGGGAGAUGUGUGAGGACAGGCUGAUGGAGCGCCAGGAGAGCGCGGCCAGUCCCAGUCAGGACCAACAGAGUCCCUGUGGAACAAAGUCACUGGAGAAGACCGACAGUGAGACCUUAAGGGAGGAGCCUGAAGCCGACCCUGGUGGAUUUCAGGGAGACCACCUGAAGAACAAGAAGAAGAGUGUGCCCAUGUCCGAGCUGCCCGAGGAGGUUCAGAGACUGAAGAGGGCGGCCUGGAGAGCCGCCUCCAGACGCUACUACGCCCGAAAAAUAGCCCGGAGGCAGCAGAACCCUGCGCCCUCCGGCCCCUUCCCCCACCUCAGAGACUCUCCAUAUUCACAGUCCCACUCUUACCUGGACAGGAGGAGGAAGACGCUGAUAUCAGAGCUCCCCGUGGACUCUCAGAUGCUGCAGAGGGAGGCGUGGAGGGCCGCGUCCAGGAGGUACUACGCUCGCAAAAUGGCUCGCCACCAGACGGAGGCGGUGCAGUAUGGACACCUGCUGGACAGCAUGGACCUGUCCGGGGACACGCAGGGAGCCAGCAGGGACGGCGCUAACAGCGGGGGGAUCAUGUGCAGCUGAUGCACGGCCGAGCAGAGCUGAGGGCUCGUUUUACUGAAGGUACUUUGAACUGAACGCUCAGACCGCAGCUCUGAGUGAAGCUCUGCACUACAUGAAGUGACCACAGACGCUGCUAAAAAAGUCUGAAAACACAACACACACGUUAGCAUGCUAACCUGCUGAAUGCUAACGACACUCUGCACAAAGUGUAGAAAACACAACCAGCUGCUCUUUUUAUAAAAACAUCAGAUUCACAGAUCCAGUCAUGUGUCAGAUGUGGUCUGAAAACUCAGAGCGUUUGGUCUUUAGGUGGAACAUGUGGAGAAACUAAAGCCACGCCGCGACAGGCCCACAUCCACUGUGAUGGUGCAGCGCCCCCUGGAGGCCAACUGUAUGUCUGCUAAAGCUCUGCUGCUCUCUGUGGGGAGUGGGGGGGGGUCACUCACUCUUUUACUGAUCCAGGCAGAUGUGAUGAGCUUUUUAAUGUGUUCCUGAACUCAUUAAAAAAAAAAAGGUCUGAAACCGGCUGAACGUUUUCUUUUCAGCUGCUGAUGUAGCUCACAGAUAUUUCUGAUGCUCAGACUACAUGAAACAAUAAACUUACAGCAGUGUGUUCUUCUGCUGCCGUG